rnacentral:lncRNA from 1 species
GAGCUUCUUUGAACUGCUCCCAGGUAAGAGCUGCUAUCUGCUCCUCGUUCAUCGUCUUCUGCUUCGCUUCCCACCAGAAAUCUGCGGAUCCCUUAAGUUGAUACGACAUACACGUGAGUCGCUCAGCGUCAUUACAUCGAAGGAAUCUAAAAAUUCUCUCCAUACUUCGAAUCCACUCCUCGGUUUCAGCGGGAUCUCCUGAUCCAUUGAAUGUUGGUGGAUUUUGUCGCAGAAAAAGUUCCUCUACCCUCCUUUCUUGUUGUGGGGGAGGUGGUGGCGUGGGAUCUCUCUGCUCCUCUUCCUCCUCUUCUUCUCGAUCUAUGUUCCUUCUGUUCCCCCUUCUUCUCGGAGGCAUACUAUAAAGGAAAAAGAAACAUAUAACUAUCGGCCUCAAAACUAGCCGUUCGUCAUAAAAAAAACAAACAACGAUUUCUGUUUUUCUCACUUCGCUUCUAUAUCUCGUUUGAAAAACUUAAAACUCUCAAAAUUCUCGUCUACUCAAUUUUUCGUCUAUCAUCGAUCAUUAUUCUCAUCAACCUCUAUUUCUCGUUUAUCACUAUGCAUCAGCAUCAUCAUCAUUCUCAAAACUCUGAUAAGGAAGGUAAAACUCACUAAUCAUCAACAUCUCAGUAUAUAUAUAUAUAGAAAAUUGCCUCUNUAAAACUGGGGCAAUAGUGAGCGUCUUCUUUAGCUCUUGAAAACUUCGCUCACAUUCGUCCGUCCAAACGAACUUGACUUCCUUCUUUAGCAGGUGCGUCAAUGGCUUAGCGAUUUUCGAAAAGCCCUCAAUAAAACGUCGAUAGUAUCCUGCUAAUCCCAGAAAACUGCGAAUCUCGUGCGGUGUGGUUGGCGAUCUCCACUCCUGUACCGCUUGAACUUUCGCUGGGUCUACCUCAAUUCCUCUCGCGGAAACGAUAUGGCCAAGAAAAUUGAUUUCUUUAAGCCAAAACUCGCAUUUGCUAAACUUCGCAUACAGCUUUUCCGCUCGUAAUCUUUCCAACACGAUCCUUAAAUGUUCUUCGUGUUCUCGUUUACUCUUCGAGUAAAUCAGGAUAUCGUCUAUGAAGACUAACACGAACUUAUCUAAGUAUUCAUGAAAAACGCGAUUCAUGAGGUCCAUGAAUACUGCCGGAGCAUUCGUCAAAUCGAAAGGCAUUACUAUAAACUCAUAGUGUCCGUAUCUCGUACGAAAUGCCGUCUUCGGAACAUCUUCCGAUCGUAUCUUUAGCUGAUGGUAUCCCGUUCUUAAGUCAAUCUUUGAAAAAGUGGUCGCUCCUUGUAGUUGAUCGAACAGAUCAUCGAUUCGAGGUAACGGAUACUUAUUCUUCAACGUCACUUUGUUCAGCUCUCGAUAAUCGAUACACAACCUCAAGCUUCCAUCCUUCUUUUUAACGANAAGAACUGGUGCUCCCCACGGGGAAACACUAGGUCGAAUGAAGCCCAUAUCUAAAAGUUCUUGAAGUUGCAGUUUCAACUCUUGCAACUCAGCAGGGGCCAUUCUGUAGGGUGCUCUCGACGUCGGUGCUGCACCAGGCUCUAAAUCGAUCGUAAACUCGAGUUGUCGGUCUGGGGGUAAUCCUGGUAAAGUCUCAGGAAAAACGUCUUUAAACUCUCGCACGACCGGCACGUCAUCAACGUUUGCCUUGGACUCGUCUCUCUGGUUCAGAUAUACAACGUACGCGGUUGUAUCCUUCCUUCGCAAGAGCUUUCUUGUUUGCAAUGCCGAGAUGAUCGGUGUCUUCUUCCAUUUUCCCUCAAUGCCAAUGAAGGAAGUAGGUUCUUGGCCAGGUGGCUGAAAAGAUAUCCGUCUCUCCUUGCAUUGUAUCUUGGCAUGAUUCUCCUCUAACCAAUCCAUUCCCAAAAUUAUAUCCAAGUGCCACAUAGGCAUCAAUCUCAGGUUUCUAGCCUCGAGCUUAAUCGAUUCUAACUUAAAUUCUAAGUUAGGGCACACGUGCGAAACCGUAGUAGUUCUGCCUAUAGGUGUGGUUACUCUUAGAGAUUGUGGGGCAGGUCUCUACUUUCAAUUCUAAGGUAUCGACACAAGUAUGUGAGAUAAAAGAAUGCGAAGCUCCAGUAUCAACAAACUACGAUAGGUCACUCCUUUCAACUCGCCUAUACCUGUCAAAUUUCUUUGAUUCUUCUCUGGUGCCUUCUGAUCCAGUGCAAACACCCUCUGGUGAUGCUGUUGAUUUGUCUGCGGGGCUGGUGGUUGCCUUUUUGACUGACGCGGUCGAUAGGCUUGUUGUUGUCGUUGUGGCGGAGGUAGCGGUAAGAUUCCAUCCAUUGCUUUGAGUUGUGGCCAGAAUUGGCUCAGUCGUCCUCCGCUCCCACUUUGCUGUCGAUUCGGACACUGGUUCGAGUAGUGUCCAACUUUUCCGCAGGUGUAACAGGCAUUCUGUCCCAUUUUACACUCUCCCAAAUGGAGUUUAUUGCACUUCGGGCAAGGCGGUAAUCCUCGCGGUCCUUGAAAAACUGCUGCUGGGGCAGCUGGGCCAACAUAAGGUCGUUUAUCUCUGUUCUGGAAUUGCGGUGGCGCAUUCUGACUCUGCCACGGCUUCUUGGGUACCUUGACUUCGGUCGUCCCAUUUUCUCUUGCCCUUUUGGCUUGUCCAGCAAAAGGAUGAUUUCCCGAUUGAACAUUCGGGUUUGAUUGUGGAAUCGAGCCUUGAUUCGGUCUCUCUGGCUGCAUUGCCAGUUCCAUGUCUAGCGCUCGGUUUAAAGCCUCAGCGUAGGUUAGCGCACUCUGACUCGCUAAAACGACUCGUAUCUCUUGCUUUAAUCCGGAGCAAAACAGUUCUGACAUCUUUUCAUCUGUAUCUACUCGAUAUGGAGCAUAUCGGGCCAAAUCGCAAAACUGUCGGUCAUACUCAGCUACCGUCUUACUCCCUUGCUUCAAAUUUACAAACUCCAUCUCUUUCUUCUUUCGAUAGCUUCGGGGUAUGUAUUUCUCACAAAGAGUUUCUUUGAACUGCUCCCAGGUAAGAGCUGCUAUCUGCUCCUCGUUCAUCGUCUUCUGCUUCGCUUCCCACCAGAAAUCUGCGGAUCCCUUAAGUUUGAUACGACAUUACACAUGAUCGCUCAGCGUCAUUUACAUCAAGGAAUCGUAAAAAUUCUCUCCAUACUUCGAAUCCACUCCUCGGUUUUCAGCGGGGAUCUCCUGAUCCAUUGAAUGUUGGUGGAUUUUUGUCGCAGAAAAAAGUUCCUCUACCUCCUUUCUUGUUGUGGGGGAGGUGGUGGCGUGGGAUCUCUCUGCUCCUCUUCCUCCUCUUCUUCUCGAUCUAUGUUCCUUCUGUUCCCCCUUCUUCUCGGAGGCAUACUAUAAAGGAGAAAGAAACAUAUAACUAUCGGCCUCAAAACUAGCCGUUCGUCUAAUAAAAAAAAAACAAACAAAACGAUUUCUGUUUUUCUCACUUCGCUUCUAUAUCUCGUUUGAAAAACUCAAAACUCUCAAAAAUUCUCGUCUACUCAAUUUUUCGUCUAUCAUCGAUCAUUAUUCUCAUCAACCUCUAUUUCUCGUUUAUCACUAUGCAUCAGCAUCAUCAUCA